CGUGUAGGCGGUCAGGUAAGUGAGAUGUGAAAUGCCCCGGCUCACCCGGGGACCGGCAUCUCAUACUGCUUGGCUUGAGUACGGGAGAGGAUGUGGGAAUUCCUGGUGUAGCGGUGAAAUGCGUAGAUAUCAGGAGGAACACCGGUGGCGAAGGCGCACAUCUGGCCCGAUACUGACGCUAAAGCGCGAAAGCUAGGGGAGCAAACG
rnacentral:rRNA from 1 species